UCUGCUGGGCCUCGGUGAACUGGGCAGUGCUGUGCUCGGAGAACUGACUCCGUUCAAGGGACAGUGAAGUUACUGCUUGUUCUUUUUCUCAAGGGGCAAGGAGAGGACAAAGAGAAGGCAUGGGUCUUAGGGGGUGAGCAGAAAAGAGUCCAUUAGUGGAGAUUGUGGGCAAUGUGCCAGACAAGCCUGGCUCCAAUUCUCACUCUUUAUCCUAUUAGCUGUGUGAUCUCAGGCAAAUUACUUAAUCUCUCUGAGCCUCAGCUUUUUCACUGGUUGAGAUGAGAAGGAAAGAGUAGGAAAUAACAUUUACUGAGCUAUUUCAAUGUGCCACUGUUUUCGGUGCUAUUAACGCAUGUAAUCCUCCAGAUACCCUCUGAUGUCAGUCCUAUUGUGUGCAUGAGAAAACCCAGGGAAAGGACUUGGGUGCACACCAGGCAGUGUGUCAGGAACCCUUGAGAACACAGCAGUGUUCAUGUGGCAUAAAGCCUGCCUGUGGGCAGUGCCCCGUGCUGUGCAGACAGAAGGGACUGGGAGCUAUUCACAAGCAGCAGCUCACUUUGGUUUGCUCUCACUCUGGUGUGGUCAUGCUCACUGGUGUGCUCUCACUCACUGGUGUGCUCUCACUUACUGGCACACUCACUGCACACACACCGUGGUUUCCUCCCAGGCUUCCCCCCAGCACCAGGAGGUGAGGAAGACUGGCCAGGUACCUACUCCUGCUGUGGGCUCACUGAGGCCGGGCUGGUGGCUGGGCAGGGGCCCCACACGCUGACUCCACAAGCAUCACUCUUGGCCACCACCAGCCCCAGAACCCCUGCAGCCCCCGUGCCCCACACCCAUAGUCCCGCUGCGGUUUUCAGCCCUUCCUUUCCUCCAUGCAACCUGAGUACACCAGGGGCCCUCAGUCAUGUUUCACUCGAGAGCUAUUCCCGAGAGGAGGAGUGGGGCAGGGAGGGGACGGAGUUGGAGAGGGAGCUCUGGCCCCACACGGCUCAGCACACCGGGCCUCAGGGGGUCUUCACAGCAGAGGCUGGGCUGGUCGGAAGACAGGGCCAUGCGUCAGGUGUCACCCCAAACAGGCCCAACAGAAGCAAGAUGGAAGACAAAAUCCUGCGAACUGGAGCACUGGGUAGCUGAGGGAUGUGGUGGUAAUAAAAGCUAAGGUUCUCUUCAGGCUCUGCUGAGUUGGGGCAUGAGUGGGAAUUCAAAGCCGGAGGAGGAGCCUGGACUUAACCUUGGGCCCCACCACCCUCACGGGCACCAGGCUGAAUUCAUGACAGGGUAGGCACUGCCUGAACCCCGGAGCUGAACUCCUGGGUGGAGCGGCACUGCGUGUGCAGGGGCACAGCCUCAACUUGGGAAGGUCAGGCUAUGGGUCAAAGGGGAAACAAAAGGCUUGGGGUCAGCAAGGAUGGCUUCAGCGGCUUGACUCCCACCUCCACCCUGAACAGCAGACUUAUGUUGGGCAAGGUAUGUAAACCCUGUGAGCCCCAGUUUCUUCAUAUGUGAAAUGGGGCUAGUACUUUCUCACAAGGUUGUUUUGAAGACUAAUCAAUGGUCAACAAGAAGUUCUCUGUCAAUAUUAGCUUUUCCCUCCCCCCUUACUGAGCCCAUUCUAGACAGAACUCCAGAAAAGGGCCCGAGCCCGUAAACACACCCAGUUACUCCGCAGUGCAGGUGCCUCUGGUGAGGAAGGAAACAGCCAGUGCAGCUGCUCUCUCUCUCCUGUGACUCUAGCAUAUUUUUAUUCUCUCCUCCCCCGCUGAUUAAAUGAAUAUUCUACCUUCCAAGGUACACAAAUAAAGACUAAGAGGAUCCCCAGCUAGAAAAGGAUCUGAAGUUCCUGCUCUCGCUCAUUCCCUUUGUGAGGGUCCCAGAUCUGAUGCCAUUCCUUUUGGCUUGACUUCCAGUAUGACCUUGGGGGUCCAAGAGCUGCAGCUGUCUGGGAAUUAAACUGUAAACUGGUGCCUGUGACAUGACAAAGACAUAUUCUUUGGGUUACAAUAUUUUCCUUAUAAAACAAUGUCAACUAUCUACUUGCACUUGAAGAAAUUUAAACAAGUGUCUCCUACAAACGUAGUGCUCUCUUUUGCCAUUUUAUGUUUUGCAAUGGUGUUGAGAAUCUUUCUCUGACUGAAGUAAUGUGGUAAUGUCACAAUAUCUUUGCUUCCAAAUAAAUGUGACCAAAAAAUGA